GACGAACGCUGGCGGCGUGCCUAAUACAUGCAAGUAGAACGCACAGUUUAUACCGUAGCUUGCUACACCAUAGACUGUGAGUUGCGAACGGGUGAGUAACGCGUAGGUAACCUGCCUGGUAGCGGGGGAUAACUAUUGGAAACGAUAGCUAAUACCGCAUAAUAUUAAUUAUUGCAUGAUAAUUAAUUGAAAGGUGCAAUUGCACCACUACCAGAUGGACCUGCGUUGUAUUAGCUAGUAGGUGAGGUAACGGCUCACCUAGGCGACGAUACAUAGCCGACCUGAGAGGGUGAUCGGCCACACUGGGACUGAGACACGGCCCAGACUCCUACGGGAGGCAGCAGUAGGGAAUCUUCGGCAAUGGACGAAAGUCUGACCGAGCAACGCCGCGUGAGUGAAGAAGGUUUUCGGAUCGUAAAGCUCUGUUGUAAGAGAAGAACGGGUGUGAGAGUGGAAAGUUCACACUGUGACGGUAUCUUACCAGAAAGAGACGGCUAAUUACGUG
rnacentral:rRNA from 1 species